GGCGUCAAUCCUCUCAAAGAA
rnacentral:snRNA from 1 species